rnacentral:rRNA from 1 species
AGUAGUUGAUCAUGGCUCGAGGACGAACGCUGGCGGCGUGCCUAACACAUGCAAGUCGAACGGAACUAUUUGAAGGAUUCCUUCGGGAUGACGGAUUUUAGUUAGUGGCGGACGGGUGAGUAACGCGUGAGUAACCUGCCUCUGAGAGGGGAAUAACGUUCUGAAAAGAACGCUAAUACCGCAUAACAUAUAUUUGCCGCAUGACAGAUAUAUCAAAGAUUUUUAUCGCUCAGAGAUGGACUCGCGUCCGAUUAGUUAGUUGGUGAGGUAACGGCUCACCAAGACCGCGAUCGGUAGCCGGACUGAGAGGUUGAUCGGCCACAUUGGGACUGAGACACGGCCCAGACUCCUACGGGAGGCAGCAGUGGGGGAUAUUGCGCAAUGGGGGCAAACCCCCUGACGCAGCAACGCCGCGUGAAGGACGAAGGUCUUCGGAUUGUAAACUUCUUUUGUCAGGGACGAAAUUUGACGGUACUUGACGAAUAAGCUCCGGCUAACUACGUGCCAGCCGCCGC